ensembl:lncRNA
GGCAGAAGGUUCCGAUGGAAGAAAAGAAAAAAGCUGAUGCUUUCUUCAAACUGAUAGGGAUUAUAGGUGGAAGGCAGGUGGGCCCGCGUAGGGAGGCCAAAGAGCUAAUAGAAAGAAUAGUAAGCCCUGCAGAAGUCUCCAAAAGAAAGGCUGCCUAUAUCAGGGCAAGCUCUUUUAAAAAAUUAUUUGGAAAAUAAAAUUUUAUAUUUCAUGAGGUCUGUCUUCAUGAUACAGACCAUUCCUAAAUAUCAGAAAGUCCUGUUGAAUCAACUGAAAGACAUUAUUUGCAUUGAAAUGUGAUCAUGGCUUUGCUAUCACCAUCUUGAUGUUUUACAUCUUUGUGAACUCAGGAAAAUUUUGAGAUGACUAAAGAAUGUGUUUGACAACUAAAAGAAUGUAUACAAAAAUGUCAACAUUUAUCUUUUGGAGACAGAAUUGCAAAUUGCCGGGAACCAGCCCCAGCUGAUCCAGGGUAUUCGAAGGAGAGA